rnacentral:sRNA from 1 species
CUGUGGCCAUGUUGGCUCAAG